rnacentral:lncRNA from 1 species
UCUUACUUCAAUUCCUAGAAACUGAUGUAGCUCCCCCAUGUCCUUUAGUGCAAACUGUGCAUUUAAGUUGUUGAUGAAGCUUUGCAACAACUUGUUAUUAUUACCGGUAAUCACUAUAUCAUCAACAUAUACUAAAGCAAAAAUCACUUGCCUCUGAUUCAUGUAAAAGAACAAGGAGUUGUCUACCUUUGAUUUCGUGAACUUCCACUCUAGAAGUGUUUUCUUCAAUCUUUCAUACCAUGCCCUAGGUGCCUGCUUGAGUCCAUAAAGUGCCUUUUCAAGUUUACACACAUGGUUAGGAUUGUUUUUAUCAACAAAACCUUCUGGCUGACUCAUAUAGACCUCUUCAUUUAGCUUUCCAUUCAAGAAAGCAUUGUUGAUGACUACCUGCCUAACACUCCAAUUCUUUGAGAUUGCAAGUGUAAGGAUUAUUCUCAGAGUUGAGGCUUUAAUUACUGGACUGAAAGUUUCAUGAUAAUCAACUCUUGAAGUUUGUAGAAAUUCUUUUGCAACAAGUCUUGCCUUGUACUUCAGCACCUUUCCUUCAACAUUUCGUUUGAUUCUAAACACCCACUUAUUUCCUAUUACCUUCUGGUUGAUGAACAGGUGGUACAAGUUUCCAGGUUUUAUUAUUCUACAAGGCUCUAUAUUCAUCCUCCAUUGCAUUUUUCCAGUCUUUAUUUUCCAAGGCCUCAAACACAUCAUUUGGUUCAAGUCCGGUGUGCUCCAUCUUACAUUGAGUUGAGUAGGCUUUUGGUUUGAAAAUGCCAGCUUUACUUCUGGUAAUCAUGGGGUGUUCUACAUUCUAUUUGCUCUGUUCUACUAAGCUUUGAUUCUUCUCAUUCAUUUCAGUCCCCUCAAUCUCAAUAUUUGCAACUUCUUCUUGAUUUUGGAUUUGAGUGUGACCAUUACUCAUCUCUGAAUUUUCAUUUUCAUUUACCUCUGGUGCCUCAGUUUCUGCCAUUUCUAACCGAUCAAAUCUGUGAGAUGUUGUUGUUGGGGUUGCUUCAGAGUGAAUUAUAUCAAUUGAACAUAUUGGAUCGUAGUAUAGGGAAGUAUGAACUGGUAGAUAUUGAAUAAUGGUUUCAGUUUUUUGUGGGUUACUCUUUGUGUUAAGAAAACCAAACUGAAAUGGAAACUCUUUUUCAUUGAAGACUACAUGUCUGGAAAUGUAAACUCUACCAGUUGGACUGAGACAUUUGUAUCCUUUAUGUGAAUUGCUGAAACCAGAAAUACACAUUUAGUGGAAUGGAAAGUAAGCUUAUGUUUUUGAUAGGGUCUGAGACAGGGAAAACAGGCACAUCCAAAAACCUUUAGAGAUUUGUAGUCAAAUUGCUCAUAGUUUAGAGUUUCACAGGGUGAUUUCAUCUUGAGGAUAGGUAUAGGCAGUCUAUUUAUAAGAUAUGUGGCUGUGUGAAAAGACUCCCACCAAUAAUGCAAGGGCAUACUUGCUUGAGCAAGAAGAGUCAAUCCGGUUUCAGUUAUGUGCCUAUUUUUCCUUUCUGCUCUACCAUUUUGGG